AAAAAAAUCACUAAAUAAUAAUAAGACAUUUAUAAUAUUAAUAAAAACAUUUCAAUCUAGCUAAUAUUAUAGAGACAAUAUUUUGUAAUUAAUGCUUUUUAAUUGUUGCAUUGAUCGAUUACUUACAUAUUUUAAAUAUUACAUAGUUUUAUAUUUGUUAAAAUUGUAAUAAAAUUUUCGCGACACAUUGGUUGGGAAUCACUGCUGUAAUCUAUAUUUAAAACGUAAUAGUUUUGAACACGUAGGAAAUUGAACAAAAUACUUAUCAUUAAAUAUUAUUAAUACAUAGUGGAAAAAAAAUUAUAUUAUUUCCAUUUUAAAACAAAAAUAAAAAAUAUUCUUUUUAUAAUUAAAAAUAUAUAUCCACUUUUAAAUCAGAUCGAUAAAAAAGUGUAUAAUAUAUUCUUUGAUGCCAUAGAAUUUUAAUAAUUCAUUUUUGUAUGUUAUCAGAUAAGAAAGAUCGAAAAUCAUUGCUGUAUAAGAAGAUUGACGAAAGAAAUCGUCAAUCUUCUCGAAUUUCCUACCGUCAAUAUCUCAACAUCGAUACGGCGCAUUAGCUCGAUUAUUCAAGCCACGCCAGGCGCCACGUCGAGUCGCCAGUAGCGACUUCUGAAUGCAUCUGUAGCCGAUCGAAACAAAAAUCGAGAAGGGUCCUCUUGCCCGUGAUCCGCCCGAAGAAAAAGAACAAUAAAGAGGUCACGAUCCCGACAGGUACGAAACGAAUAGGUAUCCCUUUUGGCCGAGUACCAUGACACGUCGAAUUUAGGGGCAUAGCUAUUCCUAUGUUGAUCCUUUUUUAAGUCCUCCCUGCGAUGGACAUUCCCCCGCUAAACCGAAAAGAACAAAGUCCUACAUAUCUUCGAGAAGUAGGCGCAUGUUAUCGCCACUUGCAUUAACGCGUUGGCGCGAAUGGACGCUUGCAAGCUGAAUCAACAGACUACACGAGUUGACUAAUUCCUUUCCACAAGGUAAAAUUUCAGCGUAGUGAGGAACACGCGCUUGCACCGUGGGUGGGCGCCCUCUCGUGUUCGUGCUUCGAAAUCUUGUUGAAUCAAGGUUUUCGUGAUUAUGUUCGAAAAAAUGUGAUAUGUUCGGAACCGUAAUAAUCAUCAUCAUAAAUUAAUCGAAAUUCGAUCGAUCGAUAAUCGUCUAUUUGAUUUUUAUAGAUUAUCUUGAUAAAAAUUAGUGAAAUUAUUUGCAGUAAAUUAAUUGCAGAAGGAUCGGUUGAACACUAUUUAAUUGAAAAAUAUGCAAAAAAAAAAUCAUGUAAAAUAUGAUCUAUAUGAUUCGAAGAUAUCGAAGAAAUAGAAAAAAUUUCUCAAGAAGAGAUCCUAUCGAUGGACAAAUAAUCAGAAUCCCCGCCAUCGUUUUCGUAAAUACAGUGAGGUGUGCUGUUAUUAGGUUAGGUUUCUGACGUCAAGUGUGGGAUUAUCUUAAUAAAGGAAAAAUUUCGAAUUACGCAAGUGAAUGGAGACUACCAAUCGUGACGGUUACUCUGACGAUUUGCGAUACAGAAAAUAGAUAACGAAGAAAUAAUCGCAUUCGAUGCACUUGCCCAAAAAUUGAAUCUCUCUUGGAUACAUUCAAGACAAAAUAAUUUGAAUGAUCUUCAUUUCGCGUGAAGUGAGUCGUCCUUGAAUUCUUUGUAUUCCUAUAGCAUUUGGUCAUUAUAAAACUUUUGCGUGCAACUGAAAAGAUCAACGAGCUGUCAAUAAUCAUCACGCGUUUUAUCUUCGCUCAAAUUGUCGUGUCUGGCAGAUGCAUGCAAUUUCUUCAAAUUACAUUCAUUAAUUGCAACAUUCCGACUGUCUUUGAACAUAUGAAAAAGAUGGUAUUUCUUCUGGACAUAGAACAGAUGCACACCAACCAACCGUGAACGUUACGAUAAAUGGUCUAUUCUUUGUGAAAUGAAAAAUCAAACGGGACUUAUUCUCCAGGCUCACGACCUUUCGCGAACAAAACUAAAAAAAUAGACGAGAUUCGUGAUCUUUCGAAAGAAGAUGAAUAUUAUGUUCCAUGAAAAACUUUUCAUGAUUUUCUUUAAAAAUAAUUUUUUGAUUAAUUUUAAUUUUUAUUAUAUUUCCAAGAUUGGUGCAUGUGUACUUCUUAAUCAAAAAUCAAAAGAUUUUUCGCAAUAAUUCAAGAUUCAUUCAAGAUUAUCGACAUUUCCACAUGAGAUUACUAAUUGGAUAACAAUCUAAUCUUGAAUCAUAGGUCAGAAUUUGUUUUUUUCAUGCGUGUCAAUAAAUAAGCUUCAAGAUUCACCUGUUAUUAUCAAAGCCAGUGUUUCUCAAUCAUUUUCUCGGUUUUUCCAUUAGGUAAUCUAUAAUUUAUAUUUUUUUCAUUUUAAUGUGUAAUAUAAUAUAUCAAAGAAUUGAUUAUUUCAUUGGAUUCUUGCACAAUAUCAAUGAAUUAACAAAUUAUAAAAAAAAGUUAUGGAUUAAUUUUUCAUUUUUUUAUAAUUUUAAAUUAAACAGAAUAAUCAUACUUAUAAUUUGUGAGAUUUAUUUGUAAAAUAUUGCUAUUUAUUACUUUGUAAAAUUUCAUUUCUUUCUUAUUAGGAUGAUAAGACAUCGAGGUGGUCUUCGUAGUUAUUAAUCAUUAAGAGAUAUAAAUAUUGAUGAUGUUUAUAUACUAUACCAUCCGAAUGUUAUUCUAUAUCAUUAUCGAUAUCGCCGAUAUAACCAUUCAUGAUGAAAAAAUUAUAUAUAUAUUUUUUUUACUCGCAUUGCGUAUAAACAUAAAUAGAAAUAGCAGAUAUUAUUUCUAUUAGAUUACGAUACUAAAUCGAAAUAAAAUAGUCAGUGUUUACGUGCAUACUCAAUGAAUUUUCAAAUCUAAUUUUCUCCAAAAAAUAGAACUUUAUAUUCUAUAUCUUAUUUUUAAAAUCAAAAAUUAUUUUUUUUUUUUUGAUUGCAAAUUGUUGAAUCUUAAAUAUUUUGAGUUCAUUGAUUUUAUUUUAUGACAUCAAUCAAUUUUAGCUUAGCCAUCUGUAUUCCUAUAUGGAAAUAUAUCAAGAAUAUAAAUCAAGAAUCGACGUGUUUUUCUUUUUUCAAGAAUCACAUGAUCGUUUCGUUUCAUGAAUUAUUCCCGUUUAACCUUUCUUAUGACGCAAGAAGCCAUAUUGUACGCGUACAUGAUGGAAACGAUUCUCGAGGAGAGAUUAAGGAACGAUCACAGAAACAUUAGAGGAUUGGCAUAAUAAGGAGACAAAGAAUGGUGCACGAUAUCCUGGUGGCGACACAACAGAUGCCAGACGGAAGAUAGACAUUGAAGAAAAAAAAAGAAAGAAAAAAAAAAUUAAGGAUUUCCCGGGGAACACAGGCUGCUAUUGUCUCCUGAUCUUAACUCGAAAAUGAUCGGUACCUGAUCCCAACUUCCAACCAAUCAUAUCGUCAAGAUCUUUCUUUGGUUACUCAGUCGAUGUUUUAGAUCGAUUAUCGCUUAUCCAAUUAUCCAUUACGUUGAUUUAUCUUCCAAGUAAUUCAAAUAUUCGACAUUCCAUGGGAUUGAUCACUGGUGACGGAGCAGAAGGAGACGAGCAUCGAAGUUCACGGACCUCCAAGCAAGAAUUUACACGGCACCCGUGUGCGUUUGCGGCGUUUCGACUUGCACCGAGGCAAUGAAACACAGCAUAUAUAGAACGCGUGGCACUUUGCGUGUGGCUGCCACUACAGAAAUACCCUGUGAACAGAGCAGGGUGCAGGGUAUCGGUCCUCUCGCGAGAGGACCGAGUAUAGGGUCUUCGUAGUCGGCCUCGCAGCGGGGGUUGAAAUUCCCUGGUGGCUCGCCUCGCGGUACCGCGUCGUCUAACGUAGACGUCCUCGGCGCACAUUUUUAUUCGAUCGCGCUGUUGGGGGCUACCAGCCAGCCGUGGUUCUCCUCUUUUUUCCACCGAUACCCGCGCGAGCCUCGAGUGCCGUGAGAGAGGAAGACCGUGGCCUCUUGUCUCUCUGCGAAAACCCACGUGAAUUCCGUGAAACCCCCGCGGUUACCUUCGAUGACCCUCCAAAACUGCUUCGAUCGCCAACUUUUGCACGUAAGUGCUUCCUAAGCCGACGAUUCUUUCCCACAAUUCUCACGAGGAGUGACCAAUCUCGAGUCGACGAAACCAGUCGACAACCUUUGUCUCACGGGGCAAGAGAGCCAAUUGGACCACCUAAUUCGAGUGCAACCACCGGGAUCCGUCUACUUAUUAAGCAAACUGGAACAACCCAUCGUCGACGGUUUCGUCUGAAUGGCGAAAGACGACCCUCUUUCUCGGAUUAUUCCUCCGAGCUUUUCUCAAACGCAAGAGGGAGGGCGUUCCCGGCGUCUCGGUCAGGUAGUCGAACCAAUUAGAAUAAUUGUCGUCCCUCGAACGAUCUGGUUGCUCGAGGAUCGCGUCACUCGCACGGAAUCCUCGAAAUCGAAUGGCCGUGGUGUGGUGACCUUGCGGGGUAACACGAGAGCGGCGACGAGGACGCCGCUGGGGAUGAACGACGUAUCCUUCGGUGAUUUAUCACGUUUCAGGAUGGAAUAUUAAUAUCGGUAUGGCGUGCGCCUCCGCUCCUUUUCCAGGCAUCACGAUCGUCCACGGCCGAGAGAGUCACACGAACGAUCGUGUACGUGUGCACACGUCUCUCUGGAUCACGAUGCGCGUGCGCGCGCACACAUAUAUAAACCCAUAGGUAUUACGAACGGGACAGAGGAUAGCUACCGGUCACAGCAGGAGAGCACGCCGGGGGUCCUCUACCUCUCCGCCGACUUGAACCUCGCUACCGAGAAAGAAGCGAACUUUCGUUUUAUCCUCUCUUUUCUUUUUCCUCUCCAGCCUCGCCGGCCUCUUCCUCCUCCGCGGUUAUCCUUUGUUCAUCUUCUUCCAUUGCGGCUUCUUCCUCGUCCCGCUUCGUGCUUCUUCGGCUCCCUUCGUGGCGACGUGACGGCGCUACUGUCUGCUGAUUCGUCGAGCUCGCGCGGUCACGUGACCACUUUAUAAGGAACGCGGCGCCGCUCACCGCUUCACUCGCCCGCUGCGCUCCCUUUCGCGAGGUUCUUCCGUGCCGUUCUCUUCUACGUUUGCAUUCAAUGUUAUUAGAUAUUGUAGCUAUUAUUAGAUGUUAAGGUAUGCCAAUUCUUCGUGUUUUUGAAAUAAUUUCGUUCUAAUUUUUUUUUUCUUUUUAAUUUAAACGAUCAAUUUAAUUGAUCUAUUUCUAUUAGAAGAGAAGAAAUUUUAUUUUGAAGAAUUG